AGAUCGAAGCCCAUCUCACUGCAGCCUCCUUUCAGGGAGCUGCAGAGAGCAGCGAGGUCUCCCCUAAGCCCCCUCGUCAUGGUCAGUGAGGCAGCUUGAGGUCUGCACUGGAACAGAUUGUCCUGAGCCUCCCUCCUUAUUUCUCCUGAAGAACAGGAUCCAUGUCUCUGCUGCUGAGAGCAUCCCCCUGGCUGCUGGAAGCGUGUAUCAGCUGCACCACGGCGCCAGAGGCAUCCUGGGGGGGAGCAGAAAGGCUGUGGAGAUCCUGACAGCACCAGCAGUAGCGCUGCUGCCUGUACAGAGCCUGAGCCUGGCGCACAGUCUGCAGUGACAAAUCUUUCACAGCUCUGUUUCCCUACAUCAUGAUGCUGAGCAAAGUGUCCUCAGAGAGAACCGCAGACCUUGGCUGGGUUGGAAAAGACCUUUAAGAUUACCCAGUCCAACCAUGGUCUAAUUCUGUACUAUGCUAAAUGCUGCUGAACCACGUCCCUUAGCACCACAGCUCUGCCUCCUCCAAACACCUCCAGGGAUGGGGAUUCAGCCCCCUCCCUGGGCAGCCUGGCUGUGGUGCCAGGGGCUUGAGAGCCCUUUCAGUGAAGUUUCUUCUAAUGUCCAACCUAAACCCACCCUGGGGCAACUUGAGGCUGUUUCCUCUUGUCCUAUCACCUGUUGUGUGGGGGAUGAGACCAAUCUCGGCUCCAACCUCCUUUCAGGGAGCUGUAGAGAGCAAUGAGGUCUCCCCUCAGCCUCUUCCUUCUCCAGAAUAA